CAAGGCGGCGAAUUGGUCGCGGUCCUUGUACACCUCUUCGACUGUAAGCGUUCCUGCAAGGACACCACCGGAAAGUGCUAGUUUAGGAGGCACUGGAGGCUAGGGGUUGCCUGGUGCUGAGUACAAUCGAUGGACGACCUUACCGAGUGACCACCAGCGAGGUGACGCCCACUAUCAUGGCCACCUUGAAGACACCCAUCCACAC